GGGAAGGUGGCUCAGUGGUAGAGUACUUGCCUUGCAAGCAUGAAGCCCUCAGUUCUAUUCCU
rnacentral:tRNA from 1 species